rnacentral:rRNA from 1 species
UACAGAGGGUGCAAGCGUUGUUCGGAAUUAUUGGGCGUAAAGCGCGUGUAGGCGGCUUUGCAAGUCGGGUGUGAAAGCCCUCAGCUUAACUGAGGAAGUGCGCCCGAAACUGCAGAGCUUGAAUACCGGAGAGGAUGGCGGAAUUCCCAAGUAGAGGUGAAAUCGUAGAUAUGGGGAGGAACACCGGUGGCGAAGGCGGCGACCUGGGUAGAUACUGACGCUGAGGUGCGAAAGCGUGGGGAGCGAACAGGA